rnacentral:rRNA from 1 species
UACGUAGGGGGCAAGCGUUGUCCGGAAUUACUGGGCGUAAAGGGCGCGUAGGCGGCCUGCUAAGUCGAACGUGAAAUCCCCGGGCUCAACCCGGGAACUGCGUCCGAUACUGACAGGCUUGAAUCCGGGAGAGGGAUGUGGAAUUCCAGGUGUAGCGGUGAAAUGCGUAGAUAUCUGGAGGAACACCGGUGGCGAAGGCGGUCUUCUGGACAGUGACUGACGCUGAGAUGCGAAAGCGUGGGGAGCAAACAGG